rnacentral:lncRNA from 1 species
UUCUCUAUUUUUGAUGUGCAAUGAAAUUCUCUUAAUCUGAAAGUGAUCUCUCUUUUAAACCCCACUCCUCUUCCUUCCAAAUUGAUUCUCUAGCCUUAAAUAGUCUUGGAGAUGGCUGGAGAAGUUUUGGCUAUUGGAAGGGUUGAUCUAGCCAUUAGACAUAAAAACUAAUCAUUAGAAUCAAAUCUAUAGAACUAGCC